AUGAGGAUAACGACCUGGAACUGUCGGGGGUUGGGGAACGGCCUGGCAGUGAGAGGGCUUCUGGAUCUACAGAAGUGGGAGGACCCCGACAUUCUCUUCCUGUCGGAAACAAAGCUAGACAGGAAGCGAAUGGAGAGUUUUAAAUGGAAGCUAGGUAUGAGCAAUAUGAUCGCAAGGAGUUGUGAAGGGAAAAGCGGAGGUUUGGCUUUAUUGUGGAAGAAAGAUGUCAAUAUUGAGCUUCGUAGCCUCUCAAGAUACCACAUAGAUGUGGAAGUUAUUGAGGGAGACGAAUUCAGAUGGCGGUUUACUGGGAUUUAUGGGGAACCAGCAAGCCAAAGGAAAAAUGUGACAUGGAGAUUGCUAAACAUCUUGAAUCAACAGCUGAGACUACCGUGGCUAUGUGCCGGGGAUUUUAACGAAGUACUAUAUACCCAUGAGAAAAGGGGUGGGCCUGAUAGACCACAAGCAGCAAUGGAGAGAUUUAGGUUAGCACUAGCUGAAUGUGGCCUCAGAGAUUUAGGAUACACAGAGAUAAAUUCACGUGGCGAAAUCACAGUCACAUAG
rnacentral:rRNA from 1 species